rnacentral:rRNA from 1 species
UACGGGGGGGGCAAGCGUUGCUCGGAAUUACUGGGCGUAAAGGGUGCGUAGGCGGUGCGGUAAGUCUGGUGUGAAAUCUCCAAGCUUAACUUGGAAUCCGCAUCAGGAACUGCCGUGCUCGAGUGUGGGAGAGGAGAGUGGAAUUCCCGGUGUAGCGGUGAAAUGCGUAGAUAUCUGGAGGAACACCUGUGGCGAAGGCGGCUCUCUGGACCACAACUGACGCUGAGGCACGAAAGCCGGGGGAGCAAACAGG